AGCCGCAUUGGUAGAACUGGGAAACUCAUCAAUUACACUGAAAUACCGAGAUACGCUUCAAUCUCCAAUGGCGGGCCACGCCUUCGGGUAGCUUUAAGCCGGUGGAUUACAAAGGGGAUGAGCUCUCAAAUCUUAUUACUCGGAGUUUCAUCGCAUCACCAGUGCGGCUUUUUCA
rfam:Bacteroides sp. CAG:462 genomic scaffold, scf317